rnacentral:rRNA from 1 species
UACGAAGGGGGCUAGCGUUGCUCGGAUUUACUGGGCGUAAAGGGCGCGUAGGCGGAUGUUUAAGUCGGGGGUGAAAGCCCAGGCCCAACCCGUGGAAUUGCCUUCGAUACUGGACAUCUUGAGUACGGGAGAGGUGAGUGGAACUCCGAGUGUAGAGGUGAAAUUCGUAGAUAUUCGGAAGAACACCAGUGGCGAAGGCGACUCACUGGCCCGUUAACUGACGCUGAGGCGCGAAA